rnacentral:rRNA from 1 species
AUUGAACGCUGGCGGCAUGCCUUACACAUGCAAGUCGAACGGCAGCACGGGGGCAACCCUGGUGGCGAGUGGCGAACGGGUGAGUAAUGCAUCGGAACGUGCCCAGUAGUGGGGGAUAACCAGUCGAAAGACUGGCUAAUACCGCAUACGACCUAAGGGUGAAAGCGGGGGACCGUAAGGCCUCGCGCUAUUGGAGCGGCCGAUGUCUGAUUAGCUAGUUGGCGGGGUAAGAGCCCACCAAGGCGACGAUCAGUAGCUGGUCUGAGAGGACGACCAGCCACACUGGGACUGAGACACGGCCCAGACUCCUACGGGAGGCAGCAGUGGGGAAUUUUGGACAACGGGCGCAAGCCUGAUCCAGCCAUGCCGCGUGCGGGAAGAAGGCCUUCGGGUUGUAAACCGCUUUUGGCAGGAACGAAACGGCGCAGGCCAAUACCUUGCGCUAAUGACGGUACCUGCAGAAUAAGCACCGGCUAACUACGUGCCAGCAGCCGCCGUAACAC